rnacentral:rRNA from 1 species
UACGUAGGUGGCAAGCGUUGUCCGGAAUUAUUGGGCGUAAAGCGCGCGCAGGCGGUCCUUUAAGUCUGAUGUGAAAGCCCACGGCUUAACCGUGGAGGGUCAUUGGAAACUGGGGGACUUGAGUACAGAAGAGAAGAGUGGAAUUCCACGUGUAGCGGUGAAAUGCGUAGAGAUGUGGAGGAACACCAGUGGCGAAGGCGGGUCUCUGGGCCGAUACUGACGCUGAGGAGCGAAAGCGUGGGGAGCAAACAGG